rnacentral:sRNA from 1 species
CAACGUGUCGUCGGCGUAACAAAUUACGC